rnacentral:tRNA from 1 species
GCCCGGAUAGCUCAGUCGGUAGAGCAGAGGAUUGAAAAUCCUCGUGUCGGUGGUUCGAUUCCGCCUCCGG